GUUUGCCUUUAAUCCAUUCUUUUGACAUCUAAGUUCUGGAAGUCAAGGCUAUGGACUGAUCUAAAACCAUGAAGUUUUCCCUUCUGGAGCCCAAUCUUGUUUGGACUGCUGCCUGAUCUCUGGAGGAGUGAUGAGUCCACACCAAGAAGCAGUGAAUAGCAGUGAUCUACCUGUGAACACUUGUUUCUGAAAAGGUGAAGGGUAUGGUGCUAACAUUAUAU
rnacentral:lncRNA from 10 species